AGAGUUUGAUCCUGGCUCAGGACGAACGCUGGCGGCGUGCUUAACACAUGCAAGUCGAACGGAAAGGCCCUUCGGGGUACUCGAGUGGCGAACGGGUGAGUAACACGUGGGUGAUCUGCCCUGCACUUUGGGAUAAGCCUGGGAAACUGGGUCUAAUACCGGAUAGGACUACGGCCUGCAUGGGUUGUGGUGGAAAGCUUUUGCGGUGUGGGAUGGGCCCGCGGCCUAUCAGCUUGUUGGUGGGGUGAUGGCCUACCAAGGCGACGACGGGUAGCCGGCCUGAGAGGGUGUCCGGCCACACUGGGACUGAGAUACGGCCCAGACUCCUACGGGAGGCAGCAGUGGGGAAUAUUGCACAAUGGGCGCAAGCCUGAUGCAGCGACGCCGCGUGAGGGAUGACGGCCUUCGGGUUGUAAACCUCUUUCAGUAGGGACGAAGCGCAAGUGACGGUACCUAUAGAAGAAGCACCGGCCAACUACGUGCCAGCAGCCGCGGUAAUACGUAGGGUGCGAGCGUUGUCCGGAAUUACUGGGCGUAAAGAGCUCGUAGGUGGUUUGUCGCGUUGUUCGUGAAAACUCACAGCUCAACUGUGGGCGUGCGGGCGAUACGGGCAGACUGGAGUACUGCAAGGGGAGACUGGAAUUCCUGGUGUAGCGGUGGAAUGCGCAGAUAUCAGGAGGAACACCGGUGGCGAAGGCGGGUCUCUGGGCAGUAACUGACGCUGAGGAGCGAAAGCGUGGGGAGCGAACAGGAUUAGAUACCCCGGUAGUCC
rnacentral:rRNA from 1 species